GGCGACAUAGCCAAGCGGUAAGGCAAGGGAUUGCAAAUUCUUGAUCCCCAGUUCAAAUCUGGGUGUCGCCU
rnacentral:tRNA from 2 species